UCUCAGCUUCGUCUUCUACCUCUGGGUGGCUCGUGCCACGGCGGGGCUCCAAAUCCCCCAGCACGCAGGUUAACACCCCGCCCAUCACGUCCGCCCACCCGCGCCUCCUCUCCUCCUCGGCCUCCGCCGCCACCUAGCCGCCGCAUUCCUCCGCCGUGGCCUCCGCAGGGGCUUCAGGGACAUCCUCCUUGUUCUCGGAGGGGCACGCCGCCGCCGCCGCCACAACAUUUUGUUUAUCUGUUGUUCUAAAAAAGAACACUUCCAAUUUUAGAUGUUGUAUCUGUUGUUUCUUUGUGUAAACAUGAUAUGAAUCUCACUCAUUCUGCAGUCGCUUGCUACCAUUUCUUGUUGCAUGAGAAAUCCUGAAAUGAACCAGUUUUUACCGGAUACAAGACAAGCCUGAAAUUUUGUGGAGUUCUAUUUCUUAUCCCAACCCAUUUUAAGUGAAUAAUUGAUUUGAUUAAUUCUUACUUGAUGCAAGCAACAUUCAUACAUUUUCUUGUUACUUGUAGAUCCCGCCAGCACCAUUUAGAGUUGGGGGAAGACGAACCUCCCCCUUCUUAAGAUCCGGUACUAACUCCAAAAGGUACUGAAUUCUAUCUAUGUAUACUACUGCAUUUUUUUUUUCUUCAAUUGAAGGACCACAAGAACCACAGUGCAUUUUUCCUCUUCGCAAUGCACACUGAUCCCUUUCUGAGUUGGAACUCCACUUUCAGAAAUAAACAAGGAAGCUAUAGUACUACUGCAUCAAAGUUCGUUGGUUAAACUGAUUGGAACAUCACUUAUAAAAAAAAAGCGAUCUGAAUGCAGGAAUCAGAUGCCGGAUGAAUGAACACCAUGCUGUUUCGUGUUUCUUAUACCAACAUAUUGUACUGAUGAACCAAAAAAGAAGCUGCUUUUUCAGGAAUGGUCGAUAAUAGCUUGAUAAAGAACCUGCCUGAAUUAUUUGUGCUUGAAUUACUUUAGGGCAUUGCAGCUUGGAAUUUUAAUGACUGCACACAGCCACACAGCCACAUCUUGCAUGUGCAAAUGAUGCAAUUAGCACCCUGCAAUCCAUCUACACUUCAGCCACUCCGUAAAAUUCAUAAUCCAACUCGCCGACCAUGAGUCAGAAGAAUUGUAGUGUAUUUUGUAUCAGAUAUUCAGAAUGCUCCUCGAAACACUUGCUCCGUACAAAAGCAUGUUAGUCAGACCUAUACAGAUAAAGGGGACUCGUUAUUUUGGAGGCCAGAGGCUGGGUUAGCCUCAGGUUCAUUGAUGAACCUUAAAGUGGGACUUCUUACUGUUAAGAUUUACUACAUUUCUUAAAAUUUCUUACCUGUUUGUAACUGCAGCUUAAUUGCAACAUGAGCCCCAGUUCCAGCUACAGAACCCAGAGGGGUUGCCACCAUAUAGAUCCAAAUCUGAGUGUAUCUCCCAGUGGCGAUUGCUGGACCAAUUAUGCGUGCAGGAUUCAUUGACGCUCCUGUUGAUGGCAUGCUUAUAAGAUAAAAAAAUAGGAAUAAUUUAGAAAAAAAUCUGAGGCAAAACUCCAUCAGGCUAUACCAUGCAGUGGGGAACUGGUGGACAUGGAGAUGCCUACUUUAAUUCCCUUCUGAAUUAUAUUGAUUCAGGGAUAAUCAAUCCACUAUGCAACAUUGUGUUUGUGCACGACAGGUCAGUAGAGAACCUGCUACAAGUUUGCAACUUAAUAAAGUGCAAUGAUCUUUGGAUCUUAUUUGCGGGGCUUUGGAGUUUGGAUGUUGAAAAUGCUAUCUUUUUUUUGGUAGGGCAAUGUUACCGAAUAAAUGCUGGGCCCUUCCAAGGAGUUUCUGAAAGGUGGGACAGAAAGCCAAACGGCACGGAGAAGGAAGUUGCUACGAGCAAUAAUAAAAUAAUGCUAGUACUUGCCGUCUCGUACUAGUACUUUUGUUGCAAGAACUGGACGCAAAAGUGUCAGCUCAGCUUUGCAAUUGGAGGGCACAAACAACUUCUGCACAAAGACCAGGAUAGAGAAGUUGACAUUGGCAUUCCUGCCAUCCCGAAGACAAACAAUUCAUGGACCAGCCUCACCUUUCGUGUUUAACUGAUUGUUUGCUGGGGUUAUGAUCAUCUUUUUUUACCUUGUUCUCACAAACUGGUGAAAGCAUUUGGUGAACUUAGAAAUUUAAUUCUCUCUCGAUCUGUACAUGCGAUUAAUUACAAAUUAAAUUUGUUCUGUAUGUGCAUUGCGUGUUAUGUA